rnacentral:rRNA from 1 species
AUUGAACGCUGGCGGCAGGCCUAACACAUGCAAGUCGAACGGUAACAGGAAGAAGCUUGCUUCUUUGCUGACGAGUGGCGGACGGGUGAGUAAUGUCUGGGAAACUGCCUGAUGGAGUGGGAUAACUACUGGAAACGGUAGCUAUUACCGCAUAACGUCGCAAGACCAAAGAGGGGGACCUUCGGGCCUCUUGCCAUCGGAUGUGCCUAGAUGGGAUUAGCUAGUAGGUGGGGUAACGGCUCACCUAGGCGACGAUCCCUAGCUGGUCUGAGAGGAUGACCAGCCACACUGGAACUGAGACACGGUCCAGACUCCUACGGGAGGCAGCAGUGGGGAAUAUUGCACAAUGGGCGCAAGCCUGAUGCAGCCAUGCCGCGUGUAUGAAGAAGGCCUUCGGGUUGUAAAGUACUUUCAGCGGGGAGGAAGGGAGUAAAGUUAAUACCUUUGCGCAUUGACGUUACCCGAAGAAGAAGCACCGGCUAACUCCGUG